rnacentral:rRNA from 1 species
GGUUAAGCGACUAAGCGUACACGGUGGAUGCCCUGGCAGUCAGAGGCGAUGAAGGACGUGCUAAUCUGCGAUAAGCGUCGGUAAGGUGAUAUGAACCGUUAUAACCGGCGAUUUCCGAAUGGGGAAACCCAGUGUGUUUCGACACACUAUCAUUAACUGAAUCCAUAGGUUAAUGAGGCGAACCGGGGGAACUGAAACAUCUAAGUACCCCGAGGAAAAGAAAUCAACCGAGAUUCCCCCAGUAGCGGCGAGCGAACGGGGAGCAGCCCAGAGCCUGAAUCAGUGUGUGUGUUAGUGGAAGCGUCUGGAAAGGCGCGCGAUACAGGGUGACAGCCCCGUACACAAAAAUGCACAUACUGUGAGCUCGAUGAGUAGGGCGGGACACGUGGUAUCCUGUCUGAAUAUGGGGGGACCAUCCUCCAAGGCUAAAUACUCCUGACUGACCGAUAGUGAACC